rnacentral:rRNA from 1 species
UACGUAGGGUGCGAGCGUUAAUCGGAAUUACUGGGCGUAAAGCGUGCGUAGACGGUCAUGUAAGUCGGGUGUGAAAGCCCCGGGCUCAACCUGGGAAUUGCAUUCGAGACUGCAUGGCUAGGGUGCGGAAGAGGGAAGCGGAAUUUCCGGUGUAGCGGUGAAAUGCGUAGAUAUCGGAAGGAACACCAGUGGCGAAAGCGGCUUCCUGGUCCAGCACCGACGUUCAGGCACGAAAGCGUGGGGAGCAAACAGG